GCCGGACGUUGCGUGGGGUGCCUGUGGUCCCAGCUACUUGGGAGGCAGAGGCAGGAGACUUGCUUGAGCCCAGGAGUUGGAGGUUGCUGUGAGCUGUUGAUGCCACAGCACUCUACCCAGGGGGACAGCUGGAGGCUCUGUCUCAAAAAAAAAGAGAGACAGAGUCUCACUUUAUCACCCUCGGUAAGUGCCAUGGCGUCACAGCUCACAGCAACCUCCAAUUCCUGGGCUUAGACGAUUCUCUUGCC
rnacentral:sRNA from 1 species